rnacentral:rRNA from 1 species
AGGACGAACGCUGGCGGCGUGCUUAACACAUGCAAGUCGAGCGAGGCCCUCUCUUCGGAGAGGUGCCCUAGCGGCGAACGGGUGAGUAACACGUGGGCAACCUGCCCCUAGCACUGGGAUAAGCCCGGGAAACCGGGUCUAAUACCGGAUAUGACCUUCAAGGGCAUCCUCGAAGGUGUAAAGGAUUCUGGCUAGGGAUGGGCCCGCGGCCUAUCAGCUUGUUGGUGGGUAAUGGCCCACCAAGGCAACGACGGGUA